rnacentral:rRNA from 1 species
UACGGAGGGUGCAAGCGUUGCUCGGAAUCACUGGGCGUAAAGCGACCGCAGGCGGCCUGACAAGUCGGAUGUGAAAGCCCUGGGCUCAACUCAGGAAUUGCAUUCGAAACUGGCAGGCUCGAGUACGGGAGAGGGGGGUGGAAUUCCUGGUGUAGGGGUGAAAUUCGUUGAUAUCAGGAGGAACACCGAUGGCGAAGGCAGGUCUCUGGGCCGAUACUGACGCUGAGGAGCGAAAGCGUGGGGAGCGAACAGG